ACGUGAAACCGUUCGGGGGUAAACGGACAGAGCCCGUGAAUCCGGGCUUGCGAAUUCAGGACCGAUCGGCGGCGUUUCGUUCUCUCGCGAGAGCGGAUCGCGCGCGCGGAUCGGUUUGAUGUUCCGUCGGCCACCUUCGUCGGACGUCGCGACCCGUUUGGCGCUGAUCGGAGGAUCGAGGGGACAGUUCGAGUGUGGUCGUACCGCGCGGCGUGCGAACGUCGUGGCGGCGGCUACGCGCGAGCCUUCGAUUCCGAGUCAGCUCGCUCGACGGUAUGACGGUGGUGUCCGAGACGCGGUUAACGCGCGUCGUAAGACGCGUAUCACUCGCUCGGUGCCGGUCUGCGACGAUUCUUCGGGCCUCUUUCCGACCCGUCUUGAAACACGGACCAAGGAGUCUAACGUGUGCGCGAGUCGCGGGGUGUCGUCGAAGGCGGGCGUCGCGUUACUGAUCUUUCGGGGUUAGGGGCGCGACGUCGGUCGUCGACGUUAUUCGAACGAAACCCGAAGAAGGCGUAAUGAAAGUGAAUUUUGGGAGGAUGGCGCCUCGAGUACACCUUCUGGGCGAUUAAGCCGAGACCGAGUGCCCGCACUCCCGGGGCGUCCCGCUAAGUCCGGCCGGUAUUCGCGACGGCGGCGUUCGCGCGUCGUCGUCGGUUGCCGCCGAACUGGGGCGCACUCUUAGCGUACACGUUGGUACCCGAAAGAUGGUGAACUAUGCCCGGCCAGGAUGAAGUCAGGGGAAACCCUGAUGGAGGUCCGCAGCGAUUCUGACGUGCAAAUCGAUC
rnacentral:rRNA from 1 species